rnacentral:rRNA from 1 species
AUGAUAUCACUUUCAUGUACUAGUGGGAAUUUUCAUUAUAGAACUUGGAUUGUAUAUUCCAAUGAUGGGCUCCCUCAAAUUAACCUAGGUCUUUGUGAGCAAGCAAGUUGGAUGCACACCCACUUAGUUUUCUCUUUGAGCUUUCAUAAACUUAUAGCUCUAGUGCAUCCCUUGGAUGGCAAUCCCUACUCACUUACAUUGAUAUCUAUUGAUGGGCAUAUCCAUAGCCCGUUGAUACGCCUAGUUGAUGUGAGACUAUCUCCUUCUUUUUGUCUUAUCCACAACCACCAUCUAUUCCACCUAUAG